rnacentral:lncRNA from 1 species
AAACCCUGCAUGCUGGAAUAAUAUGAAGUCAUUUAAACAAUAAUGUAGAAAAGUAAUUUAAAGAGCAUUACAAUAAUGGAGGAGAAAAGCAGAAAUCCAAAUGAAAUGGGGCAGAGGAGGAAGCAGGGCCUACCUUCCCAUGACAAAUGGACUUGCAGCAGAGAGCUGAGUUUGAAUUUGCUCCCUACCCGUCAGUAUUAAUGCUCUAGCUCUAUCUGUAAGGUCACAGUAAACAUGCCUGCCCAGGAGUUCUGGCAUUAUCGCCACACAGAGCUAGUUGAUUCCAGCCCUAGUUCUGAGCAGCCACAGGCCUGUGAAAGGCAUCUCCCUGCACUGUAACUCCUGUUAUUAAAGCAGAGGUAAUGACUACAGAUCUCGCAGAGUUGUUCAAAGUCUUUACAAGUUGAUAUGUGACAAUGGCAAUACAUGAGAACUCUUAUUAGGUGAAGUGUUCCUGGUGGGUCACACCACUUACUGAAGGGUAGUGCAUUUUUCAUUUUUUUCCUUGGGGAAAAGAUAGCACAUGGACGUAGUAGAGGAGUCCAAUAGUAUCUGGUCUAAGUGGUUCUUCCUAGCCUGACCCUCUAUCCCAGCUCUACCUGCCAGCUUCUUGUGGGCAUAAUGGCAGUCAUCAGUAGACACCAGUGGCACCAGGGUGGGGCUGCAUGCAUGUGUAUUUCAGCAGGACUGGUGGGCUGCAUGCAGAGAGCAAAAACGGUGGAUUCUGGGUGAGGCUCCCCUCCCUGCACCUGUGUUCUUUAUAAGCACUCUUAUGCUUCUCCUCAACCCAAUGGGACAAGAGCCUUGCUUGAUGUGCAUCUCCAAACACCAGGGCUGAGCAGAGCCACUGCAGCUUUCUCUGUCUGGAGUGGCUUGUCUACAGCUGGACAAACAUGGCCUCUCAGCAUUGAGAACUGAAAGAAGAGGACUAAGCCAAAGAAUGAGGCGUAGGACAACCCACGAGAGACUGUCCAUCUCAGGCUCCAUAACAUGGCCUAUUGCUUAUGAGCUCUCAGUCUGUACUUUCCAUCUUCACUCUUGUCCCUUAACUUCAAACUAGGCAGAUGCCACCAAGAGUUUCAACUGUCACCCCAAGUUUUUAUUUCUAAAAUCACAUCAAGAUCUCUCAUGAAGAGCAGCUGGGUGUUCCUGCCUCUUGUCUUGUAGCUAUCCUUGUGAUUUUGACUGGCUCAUCACAUCCAGUGGUCACCAAGUCCCUUGAAAUGUCCUCUGAUCCAGUCGUUUCCCGGUUGUCCUGCCCCUUUCAUCCUCACAUGAGAUAACUCAGCCUCCUGAUAGCUCCCUGACUCCUGUCAUCUCUAUCUAACAGACGCGUUAUCACACUAAUCCUGUCACUUCCCUCCUGGCCAGUUCAAAAACUUUUUGAGGCCUGUUAUUUCUGCACUAAAUCAGGAUGCCUCCUUGGGCCUGUCCAGGCCUUCAGGACUCUGCCCAGCUGCCCAAAGUCCUGCUUUCCUCUCCAGGGCAGCUCUCCUCACUGCUCCCACAAACAUACCUCACAAACACCAUACUUACUGUUAAUCCAAUAAGCCAGAAGAAUUUUAAGUAGAAGAGCUUUCUUUUCUUCUUCAAAGAACUAGGAUUUUACACAGAUCUAUAAAAGCAGAAGCUGGGAAAAGAGCUUAUAAAGGAGCAGAACAUGAUCCUGUCUCUUCCCCUGCAGUCACUCCACCUGUGCAAAGCCCAGCUUCACUUCUACCUCCUCCCUUCCUACUGCAGCAGUUUUCAUCAAAUCACUCCAGUUUUAUGGAUUCUGCUCACAUUACCUAUAGCAGGAUGCUUACUACCUGUCUCCCCUGCCUUCAGUGCAAUGGUUCUAGGAAGUGGGACCUUUGGGAACUGACUAGGUCAUGAGAAUGGAGCUCCCAUGGGCUGAAUGUGAAUAAUGCCCUUGUGAAACGGAGCCUAGAAGGGUCCUCUUGACUUGUUGAGAAGAUGACUGACCAGUGAAUCAGAAAGAAGGCCCUCGCCAAACUCCAGAUCUGGAGCUCCCCAGCCUCCAGAACCGUGAGAAGCAAAGGUUUGUUGUUUAAGCCGCUUGGUCUGUGGUAUUCUGUUAGGGCAGCAAGGACUAGCAAACACCUUUUGCUAAACAAUGCCAUAGUUCCCAGCAUAUUAUCUCACCCAUGGGAAUCAUAAAAUAUGCUUCUGUGUUCUUAGCACAGAGAUGUUUAAAAAUAGCAAGCUCUUUUUGACUAAAUUCAUGAAAUUAAUGGUAUACAAAUGUGUGUGAGGAAAAAAAGAACAGCCCAGUUCAUUCAUCCCUUCUCCAGGCCCCAGUACUGACAUGAGACAGACAGACAGCCACUGUGAGACUGGUGCAAGGGUGGCUGAGGGUCCAGCAGGCUCACCCUGGUGUUGCAAGAUCAUGGGUAUGAACAGGUCAGGAGCAUCACUUCCAGGUUAGGUUCAGGUUUAAAUACACACUGUAGACAUUCCUGUUCUAUGACCCCAAACAAUGCAUUGUACUGAAAAUAGAAUGUGGCCCAAAUUGCACAGAUAAUGUUAGGAAUCCCUCACCAGUCACCACAGUCCUGGAGUGAAGUAAAGGUAGGUACUAUACCGUGACCAUGAUGCAUGGAGACAUUUUGUUGCAAAAGUCAUCAUCUAGGAGCCGCUGAAAUGUUGCAUCUUUUUCUACAAUUAACAGAAAUUUUGCAUCUGUAAUUAAAUCUGUGAAAUUAAGGCUGAUAAAUUGAAGAUGACAGUAUUUCAAUUUAAUCAACUAUCUUAUGGUACCAUAUGGAUCAAUUAAAAAACAGCUGUAGAGGCCUGUAAAACCAAUGUGAUACUGCAAUAUGUACAUGUGAAAAAAUAACAAUUCAUACCCCAUUUGAAUCAAAUGUAUGAUAUGUCAAGAUCAUUGUAAUGUUUU